rnacentral:tRNA from 1 species
CAAUAGCUCAGUUGGAUAGAGCAUCUGCCUUCUAAGCAGAGGGUCAUAGGUUCGAAUCCUAUUUGGU